rfam:Lupinus angustifolius cultivar Tanjil chromosome LG05, whole genome shotgun sequence.
CCAGCAGUGAUGAGGCUCUAACAUUUAAGAAGACUCCCUGUGUGGGUUUCUCCUAUGCAAUAUACAUGUUACGCUUGGCUUCUGAGCUUC